UACGGAGGGAGCGAGCGUUGUCCGAAGUUACUGGGCGUAAAGCGCGCGUAGGCGGGAAAUUAAGUGAGAAGUGAAAGGCUGGGGCUCAACCCCAUGCAGUGCUCCUCAUACUGGUUUUCUUGAGGGUGGUAGAGAGAAGUGGAAUGGCUGGUGUAGCGGUGAAAUGCGUAGAUAUCAGUCGGAACACCAGUGGCGAAGGCGGGCUUCUUGGGCCAUUACUGACGGCUGAGGCG
rnacentral:rRNA from 1 species